rnacentral:lncRNA from 1 species
UGGGCCCCAAGGGAGAAUAUUUCUAAUAUUGUUCAAUACACUAACAACAAAAAGAAUGGGACCCAUAGGGAUUAUUGGGUGAAUAUAUAGAUACACAGCAUACGCACACCGAGGGACCUAUUUUUUUCAUUAUCAUCGUCAUCUCAUCCUCUCCAUAAGAAAACUGACCAUCAUCUUCCAUUUUCAUUUUUCUAGAGAAAAAAACAGAAUUCACGCACCACUCUCACAAUCCUCUCACCGUUGCACACCACCAUAAAUAUACCCUCACCGAUAAACACUGAACACAUACAGAUCCACAUAUCAGUCGCGCACACACACUCACAUCUCACCAAAAAAUGCACUCUCUCAGUGAAAAUGCACAAUCACACACACAUCCAUUGAAAUGACGUGAGAAUAGGGAGACGAGAGAGAGAGAUUGGAGAAAAUCGAGAGAGAAAAGCUGAGACGAAAACGAAAUUGAGGUAAGAGGUAUUUUCUCCGGUGGGUUAUUGCCGGAGAUCCACCGGAAUCACUGCCCCAACGUCAAUAGCCAUGGCCUGGAAACUAUUCCGACGAAACCUGACGGAAAACAGUACCAUCGGCUCUAUUACGAUCUGAAAUCACGUUCUAAGCUCGUGCCUCUUAUUUUUCGGUCAAAUCCCACCGGCUAGCGUCAGUUCCAACCACUAAAUCGUCAUUCGGGGUUGUGACCUUCUUCUUUUCUCAGUUUCAAUUUUGGAUACUUAUCGGGGUUUUGUUUCGUGGCUGAGUUGAUUCUAUUCAAGGGCUAACGGGUUGUAGAGUCGAGAUUCGUUGAGUCCGUGAAGCGGCUUCAGUCGAACGAUCUGAUUUGAAAUAAAAUUGAGGUCCAAAUUCUUCAACUCUAUCUCUUCUCAUUUUAUCUGUGAUGAUGUCCUUGAUUUGUGUGGUUCAUGUUUGAGUUUGAUGGUUAAUUUUUGACAGAGUGUUUGAGCCUCUUUAAUUAUCGUAGUUUGAUCGGUUUAUUUAAUUGAGCCUUGUUUAAUUAUGUUGGUUGAAAUGAAUUUGAGUGUGGGAAUGGAAGAUUGAUAAGGUAAAUGUGGACUAUUAGGUAGGUUGAGUAGGCAAAGUUUAGGAUCUAUAAUUGUUGAAUGAUGAAAUAUUUGUGGAGUGGUUUUGAUUUAUACAUUGGAAUCUAUUGUAUUCAUUUAGCCGGGGAAUGCCUCGAGGGAUUUAUAUUGAUUUAUUUGGGGAAUGUCCCGAAGUAUCAUGUACUUGAAGACGGCGCACGAUCAAGGCACGGAGCAUCGGGUGGAGAAAGCAAUGGAGCGUAGUUAGGAAUAGCCUAGAAUAGAGUAGGUUUAUAUUUCCGCAUUUUUCUAUUUCGGAACUGUAUAAUUGGACUGAACACUAAAUUUUGGAUUAUUUUGUUUUGCUUGAUUGAUUGUUUUGCGUGCAUUGUGUGGUUUAUUCAUUCGUAGUGUCAAACUAGUCUAUACACUCUACCAAGCGACCGUGGUCAAACCAUGGGAUUAAGGGGUGCCUAACACCUUCCCCUCGGUCAACAGAAUUCCUUAGCCGGAAUCUCCAUUUGCGGAUCAGUUAUAGUCAAAAUCAUUUUUGAAAAAGGAUAUCCACGGGUGACUUGGCACAUCCGAUUUAUGCCAAGUGGCGACUCUUAGUUUAAAUGUAAGAAGUCCUUUUUUGAAAUAAAUUUUCAUCUUUUGUCACUUUGAUAAUAAAAACUCUUUCGAAACUUAAAAUAAUUAUUUUUUUGGAGUUAAAAAAAGAGGUGUGACACUUAAUAUUUAUAAGACGAAGAAAAUGUUGCAUCUAAUGCAUGAAAAUUGAACUUGGAAAAUCAUAAUAAAAACAUACAAAAAAAUUAGAUGGACAUAAAAAUUAUUUGUUAUCAAUAAUAUUGUACGUCAUAAUUACUAGAAUUGAUACUAUUUUUUUUCUUAAAUCAAUUACCCAGACAAGCUCUGAGUCGUGUUGUAUUAGCAAAAAGGGGC